CCUACGGGAGGCAGCAGUGAGGAAUAUUGGUCAAUGGACGAGAGUCUGAACCAGCCAAGUAGCGUGAAGGAUGACUGCCCUAUGGGUUGUAAACUUCUUUUAUAUGGGAAUAAAAUGUUCCACGUGUGGGAUUUUGUAUGUACCAUAUGAAUAAGGAUCGGCUAACUCCGUGCCAGCAGCCGCGGUAAUACGGAGGAUCCGAGCGUUAUCCGGAUUUAUUGGGUUUUAAGGGAGCGUAGGUGGAUUGUUAAGUCAGUUGUGAAAGUUUGCGGCUCAACCGUAAAAUUGCAGUUGAAACUGGCAGUCUUGAGUACAGUAGAGGUGGGCGGAAUUCGUGGUGUAGCGGUGAAAUGCUUAGAUAUCACGAAGAACUCCGAUUGCGAAGGCAGCUCACUGGACUGCAACUGACACUGAGGCUCGAAAGCGUGGGUAGCAAACAGGAUUAGAUACCCCUGUAGUC
rnacentral:rRNA from 1 species